rnacentral:lncRNA from 1 species
AUCUGCAAUCCAAGAUCAUAACAGUGAAGGGAAAAGCAUAUCCAGUUCUUUAUUUAAUACAGGUGGGAAUCAAGAACACUGAUUCAUUCUCAAUACCAAUGAAAAAUUUUAAAUAAAAUGUAACUUGAAAAAAAUUUCUAGGUGUUCCUGUUGUGGUUCAGUGUAUCAAACUCCACUAGUAUCCAUAAGGAUGUGGAUUAAAUCCCUGGCCUCCCUCAGUCGGUUAAAUUUCUGGCAUUGCCAUGAGGUAAGCUGUGGUGUAGGUUGCAGACGCAGCUCAGAUCUGGUGUUGCUGUGGCUGUCCAGCUCCGAUUGGACCCCUACUCAGCCUGAGAACUUCCCUAUGCCAUGUGUGUGGCCCUAACAAAAAAAGACAAAAAAAAAAAAUUAUAAUAGAAUAAAAAGUGACAUAUUCCUUUCAAGUGGGUUAAACGUGAACAUUUAAAAGAUAUCAUUAGAAACAAUAAUCAUCACUCAUAGCUUCCGUGUUACAGGCUCCCGCUCUGAGAAUCAGUACCCUGCCCUGAGCCCCAGCAGCCAGAAUGUGCCACUGACCCACACAACAGGAUGAAUACUGAACCCAGGGGAUGCUGUUCAGAGGCAGGUGUGAACCACCGAAUUCCUCUGCUUGGGAAUUUGAACAAUAAAACAUGAGGUCUCUGGUCAGCACUCCCCCUGGAGUAGCUCUGUGGGUUGCAUAAGCCUCAGGUGAGCUGGAAGUUCAGAAGGCUGGGAAAGGUAGUUUGCAGGAAAAGCUUAAGUAUGAAGCAGGCACCCAGAAGGAAGAGGUGAGUGAUUUUGUGGCCAUAAAUCUUUCUAUAUCUGUAAAAUAAAAUUACUUCACCUCUGAGAAAGUGUAGAGCUUUCUGUUCCUUAUAAGAUUCUUAAAAACAAACCCAUCACCCUUAGCAAAAGAAUAAGCAAGGGAACAUAAAAGCAACCAAAUUAUAACAUUGGUGAUAUAAAACUUGAGUCCUCAUGUCAGAUAUAAAUGGGUUAAAAGUUCCUAAUACAAAAUAACAAUAAAAAUUAACAAUUCUCAGAUUGCACCUUCUUCCCCUCCCCCCCAGCACGUGACACCGCCAACUCCCAUGGAAGGUGAAACUCCCUUUGAUUUUAAGAAUAAGACAGAGAUGGUUUUUGUAAUUAAAUAGCUCCUACACCCUGGGAGAGCUGGUCUCUACUUCUACGCUGCUCUCCACCCUUCUGCCACUGUUUGGUGCUUUUAUUGUUAAGUGCUGGCACUCGUCUUUUGAAAAAAAAAACGUGUUCCUGAUAUGCUUCCUUCUUCCUACCCCCUAGUGAAUUUGUGAUUUCUAGUUAACACAAUCUUUGGUGUAAUGUGAUAGACAUCAUGAUCAAGGUAAGAAGAAGAAAAAACUGAAUAUUGGUAGAUGAUUUUAUCUUGGAAAAAUAGUGAUGGCUUUUCCAUGUAUGUCUGAAAAGUAUCCCCUGAGUCAGCUCAGGGGAUGCCAAAGUGAACUUGAAUAAGAAAGUAACAUUUUACAAGGCCUACUAAGCAUAGGCUCCUUGUUUGCUUUUUAAAAUACUUGUAACUAUUCCAUAUAGUGGUUUUGGGAAUCUCAUAAAAGGUUGCUGCAGCCAUGUAAACUUUGGCUCAAGGAUUGCUAAGGGAUUACUUCCUAUCUCUUUGCUUCAAACCUCUUAAGUUUUGUCUCCUUUUCAUUUCUGUCUUGUUUGCUUUUAUGUCUAGCUUCUCUCUCUCUUUGUCUCUCUGUCUCUGUGUCUGUCUUCCUCCCUUGAUUUGGAUUGAUGAGCCUUUUAAAGAGUGUUUCUUCAGAAUUCAAAGAAGAACAUAUUUCAUUCAUUGAAUAAUCAUGAACAAGCAACUACUACAUGCUGUGAAAUUUCAGUGCAGUCUUUUUUUCUAGCAAAGCCCUAACGUGUCAAACACCACCUCUGUGAAUGAGGAGGAAGGACUCUCCUUCCAUUCAUGUCCCAACCUCUGGGUUACCCCCCUCUCUGAGCCAGGUCCUUGCUUGCUGGAAAAGGGGGAUGACCACCAUGUCAUCUGCACAUUAGAUUUCAAUCCUCAUACCAUUUCAUCCUGAAAGUUAGGUUUUAAUAUCCUCCUUUUACCAGGGAGGAACAUGUGACAUAGACAUACAAAGUCAAUUUUCUCAUGGUCCCAUUGCUAUAACAUAGAAGAGUCAAAAUUCAAACUCAGAUUUGCCUGAUUCCAAAGUUUGUAUGCUUCAUCCUCUACCACAAAGCAUUUGUUUGUUUAAGAAGCCAUGUAAGAAACUCAAAUUCAAACAAAGAGUUGUCUGUCCUCCUUGCCAAUGGGUGCUGUCAAAGGAAAGCCAGCACCCAUUCUGGGUAGAACACAGUAGAACUAUAAGCAUAAGCAUUAGAGUUUUGUGUUGUGUUGUCUUCCUACCAAAAGGUGGUACCAGAGAGCCCACCCUAUGUCUUAUUUUCUCUUGUGCCCCUGGAUUGCGCCUAGCUUCUGGCACUAAUAAAUGCCCGUUGAUUUAAGUAUGCCAUAGGCAUGGUGAGACACAAGACACACUUAGUGUGUAGCACUGGGCCCUAUGGUUCUGACCUCUCUCUCCCCCAGUCACACACAAGACAUGACCUGCUCCUCACCAGGCAGAACACAUUUCUUCAAGCAAUUAAUUAUCAUGGUAGAUGCCCCCUCCACACUGAGCCUUAUGUCUGUCCAUUGGCAUAUUGUUGAGUUAUAAGGCAUUACUAAUUAAAGGUGACCUCACACCAGGUUGCUGGGUCUCCACAAAACUGGUCAUCAGAAUGUUUCCUCCUUCCCCCACUCGCUCCCCCUUUCUUGUGUGUGUGCGUGUGUGUACUAAUUUCGAAUCCUUUCCCUGCAUCAGUGAGCAGAUGAGAUCCUCAGCCAGCUUUCAUCCUUCAGAAAAAUGAAUAGUGCAGAGAGAACAUUAUCAAAUGAGCUGUUGAAGAAGUCAGUGAAUAUGUCAUUGAGUGUGACUGCUUCCUGAAUGAAUUUAGAUUUAUCUCUGUUAUCUGCCCACUCUCUUCUACUGGCCCCCCUUGCCAGGCUGGCCCCAGGGCAGGUGAGUGCCCACCAUGAAUCCUGACCGACAGCUGUCUUUCCUGGCUGACAGGUCCAAUAGGGCUUCUAAGCUUGUUCAGGAAUUUGGUUUGUUAACAUUAUAAAUGAGCUCAUUGAGCAGUCCUGUUAAACACCUUGUAUCUCUUGCUUCUGCAAUUUCUUAGAGGAUUCCAUUUCCAUUAGGCAGAUGUGGGGACAGGACCACACUCACUCAAAAAUUGUUUCAUCAUGUCAAGAGCUGCUGAAUGGUUGUGACAACGCAAGAACUAGAAAGCAUCUAUUUUCCUCUUAUCUGGCUGUUUUAUUGAAAUCAGGGAACUCCAGUUCUCACACCAUUCAUUCAUUCACUUGCCAAAUAUUUUAGAACACCUAUUCAUGUGAAAAGUUGUAGUAAGUGUAUAUAUAUAUAUUGUUAGAACAGACGUGGUCUCUGCCCUUGUGUAGCAUACACUUCAGUUUAUGAUCUACAUCAGGAAGCAAUUGUAAUUGAUUCCAGGUUCUCAAAGGAUAUAAUAACCAAGGAAAAGAUAGUUUGGGCAGAAUGUCAUCAUCAGAAUGUGAUCUUUGGGGUCAGGCCAGUCUAUAUCAAUCUUCUUCUAUAGAAAAGAGAAAUUAUUGCUUCUGGAACAGGAAUAGGAUACUAUGAAUGAGAGUAAUCACAGGAGGAGGAAACUUUAGAAAUUAAAAACAUAGUAAGAAUAAAAAAUUCAAUAAAAAGGUUGGAAGAUAAAAGUGAGAAAAUAAAGACAAAGAUGGAAAUUAGGAGAGAAAAGAUAAGAAAAUUAGAGAUUAAAAAUAUAGGUUUGGCACUUGCUUAAUAUGAGUCCCACAGAAACAAAACAGAGAAAAGAGAGGUUAUCAGAAAAAUCAAAAAGGCAAAAUUUCCACCAAUAAAAAAAUAUGUUUCCAGAUUACAAGGAUUUACCAAGGGUUGAAAAAUAGAAGGAACAAAAGCCUGACCUGAGGGCAUAUCAUCAUGAAGUCUCAGGACACAAGGAUAGAGAAGAUUCUAGAACUUAACAGGAGUUAUAGGAAAAGGGAAGAAAGAUACAUACUGAGGAGUGGAAAUAAGAGGGCAUCCACAUCUCAGCAGUAGCAUGAGGAGCUGGAAGAUUUGCAGGGAUGCCUAGAAAUUCUGAGAAAAAAAAAAUGUCUUCAAAUUCUGACCAAGCCAAAUGAUCGUUGCAUAUGAAGAGAGAACAAAGGUAUUUUUAGACAAAGCAGGUUUUCAAAAAAAUUGUCUUUCAUGUGCCCUCUUUCAGGAUGCUCCUGCAGAAUGUACUUUUCAGAAGCAAGAGCGUAAAACAGAAAAGAGGAAGAUGUAGGAUUCUGGAAACAAGGGCUUGUAAAAGGAGACCAUCAAAUUCUGAGCAAGAGCUUGGAGAGCAGGGGUACAGUAUACAGAAAAAAGGCUUAGAAUUCUGUCAGUCUGCAGCUGAAUGAGGGAUACUAAGCACUACGGUGAUACUUGUUAAAGAAAUGUAAAAAAGAACACACACACACACAAAACUAUAGAGCCUACUUUCCGGGUACUGGCUCAUCCCAGCUAACAAAAUCAUCCCAUAAAGGGCAUAUUUCACAUGAUAGAGAUAGGAAGCAUCAUUUCUGAGUGGCAGGUGAAGACCGUGGGCCUGGGCUUCCCAUUUGUAGGAUGAGAAUCCACCUUUCCUUCCGGUACUUCCACCUUUUCAGAGCAUAAACUCAUCAGGGAAAUAUCACCCUGGAAAAACAGAGCAGGUCUCAGCAAAGUAUCCUAGGACGGAAGGUGACAGUGUGAUGCACAGGGAAUAUAGUGGCCUCCUUCAUUCAUUUACCAGUUAGUGUGUACCUACUGUGUGUCAGACCUUUUAGGCAAUUUGGUGACCUCAGCUCCGUAACGCCUGACUCUCUUGAUGGGAAAGUGGGGUUCAUAGAGCACAGUAAGGAUGGUGGAAAGUCCUCUGCUUCUUUUAGCCAACCUGUGUAGAGUCCGUGAAGAUUCAUCAUGAAGAGAUAGAAGGAAGAAUUGAGGUAGAGACCCAGAAACAGGGAGACAAAGACAGUAACAGGGUCAGAGAGAGGGAGGCAGAGAGAUACUGAGAAAGAGACAGAAAGAGAAAACAAGGAUUUCGUUAGCAAUGCAUUCAGUAGUAUAAGAGAUAAAAAGGAAUAUCCAAUUAACACACCAUAUAAUUGCUUGCAGACAUUCUUUUUUAUUUAAAGAUGAAAUAGCUAAGAGUUCUAAUCAAAACUAGGGUCACAGCCUACAUAUUAAAUGAAAGAAAUUGAUUGGGUUUUUAUUAUGCCCUGACUACUGCCAAUGCGCCUGGAUCACAGAUUGCCAUAAAUUUAUACUUAUAAACUACUAAUUGCCCAAGUCAUAAUGGUAACAAUGGGAUAAUGAAAUCAUCCUGAUCAAGCUGAAGCCAAAUUCUGCUUGACAACAUGGGGGCUUUGCAAGAGGGGACGGGGAAGGAGGAAUUGUGCCUCUGAACCCAGGAUGCUUUAUCAUAAUAAACACCAGCAGCAAAAGUACAAAGACCUCUGAAGGUCCUCAGUUCUUUGCUAGGGGGGCUUCCUUUCUAACAAAUCACUUAAGAAGGGGGGUGGUUACCAUUUAUAAUACAAGCACUUGUAUCCUUUAUUUGUCUUGAGAAACUAAUGACUGACUUAAUCACAUUUGAUUAAAGGAGAUGUGUUGAUGUAGUCAUGUGUUUCUGAUUGCAUUAGGCUUGAUUGAAAGUGGCAGGGAGAGUAUGUAAUAGUCUAACUGCCCCCUAUAUCUUGUCACUGGGGCUUGGCAGGCAUGACGUGGGAGAAUCCUGAGGGAAUCGUUCUGGUGAACAAUGUCAUCUUUCAACUUGAGGGAGGGGACCUGGGGUAGUGAACUUCAACAAAAAUCAGGGCUCUCAUAUCAGAGCCUGAUGAAGGACUCAGAAUUGAUCUGCAGAUGCUUCCAUAUUUAGAGGAC